UGGGGAAUUUUGGACAAUGGGCGAAAGCCUGAUCCAGCAAUGCCGCGUGUGUGAAGAAGGCCUUCGGGUUGUAAAGCACUUUUGUCCGGAAAGAAAUCCUUGGCUCUAAUACAGUCGGGGGAUGACGGUACCGGAAGAAUAAGCACCGGCUAACUACGUGCCAGCAGCCGCGGUAAUACGUAGGGUGCAAGCGUUAAUCGGAAUUACUGGGCGUAAAGCGUGCGCAGGCGGUUUGCUAAGACCGAUGUGAAAUCCCCGGGCUCAACCUGGGAACUGCAUUGGUGACUGGCAGGCUAGAGUAUGGCAGAGGGGGGUAGAAUUCCACGUGUAGCAGUGAAAUGCGUAGAGAUGUGGAGGAAUACCGAUGGCGAAGGCAGCCCCCUGGGCCAAUACUGACGCUCAUGCACGAAAGCGUGGGGAGCAAACAGGAUUAGAUACCCUGGUAGUCCACGCCCUAAAACGAUGUCAACUAGUUGUUGGGGAUUCAUUUCCUUAGUAACGUAGCUAACGCGUGAAGUUGACCGCCUGGGGAGUACGGUCGCAAGACUG
rnacentral:rRNA from 1 species